GGCGGAUGUGGUGAAGUGGUUAACACACCGGCUUGUGGCGCCGGCACUCGCGAGUUCGAUCCUCGUCAUCCGCCU
rnacentral:tRNA from 2 species